UAGGGAAUAUUGGGCAAUGGGCGAGAGCCUGACCCAGCCAUGCCGCGUGCCGGAUGAAGGCCUUCUGGGUCGUAAACGGCUUUUUUCCGGGAAGAACCGGUUCCUUGCGAGGGGCUCUGACGGUACCGGGAGAAUAAGCACCGGCUAACUCCGUGCCAGCAGCCGCGGUAAUACGGAGGGUGCGAGCGUUGUCCGGAUUUAUUGGGUUUAAAGGGUGCGUAGGCGGCCGCGUAAGUCUGGGGUGAAAGCCCGUUGCUCAACAACGGAACUGCCCUGGAAACUGCGUGGCUUGAGUCCAGACGAGGUUGGCGGAAUGGGCGGUGUAGCGGUGAAAUGCAUAGAUACCGUCCAGAACACCGAUUGCGAAGGCAGCUGACUAGGCUGGUACUGACGCUGAGGCACGAAAGCGUGGGGAGCGAACAGGAUUAGAUACCCUGGUAGUCCACAC
rnacentral:rRNA from 1 species